rnacentral:rRNA from 1 species
CUCUUGACGAACGCUGGCGGCGUGCUUAACACAUGCAAGUCGAACGGAAAGGCCCUGCUUUUGUGGGGUGCUCGAGUGGCGAACGGGUGAGUAACACGUGAGUAACCUGCCCUUGACUUUGGGAUAACUUCAGGAAACUGGGGCUAAUACCGGAUAGGAGCUCCUGCUGCAUGGUGGGGGUUGGAAAGUUUCGGCGGUUGGGGAUGGACUCGCGGCUUAUCAGCUUGUUGGUGGGGUAGUGGCUUACCAAGGCUUUGACGGGUAGCCGGCCUGAGAGGGUGACCGGCCACAUUGGGACUGAGAUACGGCCCAGACUCCUACGGGAGGCAGCAGUGGGGAAUAUUGCACAAUGGGCGGAAGCCUGAUGCAGCAACGCCGCGUGCGGGAUGACGGCCUUCGGGUUGUAAACCGCUUUCGCCUGUGACGAAGCGUGAGUGACGGUAAUGGGUAAAGAAGCACCGGCUAACUACGUGCCAGCAGCCGCGGUGAUACGUAGGGUGCGAGCGUUGUCCGGAUUUAUUGGGCGUAAAGGGCUCGUAGGUGGUUGAUCGCGUCGGAAGUGUAAUCUUGGGGCUUAACCCUGAGCGUGCUUUCGAUACGGGUUGACUUGAGGAAGGUAGGGGAGAAUGGAAUUCCUGGUGGAGCGGUGGAAUGCGCAGAUAUCAGGAGGAACACCAGUGGCGAAGGCGGUUCUCUGGGCCUUUCCUGACGCUGAGGAGCGAAAGCGUGGGGAGCGAACAGGCUUAGAUACCCUGGUAGUCCACGCUGUAAACGGUGGGUACUAGGUGUGGGGUCCAUUCCACGGGUUCCGUGCCGUAGCUAACGCUUUAAGUACCCCGCCUGGGGAGUACGGCCGCAAGGCUAAAACUCAAAGGAAUUGACGGGGCCCCGCACAAGCGGCGGAGCAUGCGGAUUAAUUCGAUGCAACGCGUAGAACCUUACCUGGGUUUGACAUGGAUCGGGAGUGCUCAGAGAUGGGUGUGCCUCUUUUGGGGUCGGUUCACAGGUGGUGCAUGGCUGUCGUCAGCUCGUGUCGUGAGAUGUUGGGUUAAGUCCCGCAACGAGCGCAACCCUUGUUCACUGUUGCCAGCACGUUAUGGUGGGGACUCAGUGGAGACCGCCGGGGUCAACUCGGAGGAAGGUGGGGAUGACGUCAAGUCAUCAUGCCCCUUAUGUCCAGGGCUUCACGCAUGCUACAAUGGCUGGUACAGAGAGUGGCGAGCCUGUGAGGGUGAGCGAAUCUCGGAAAGCCGGUCUCAGUUCGGAUUGGGGUCUGCAACUCGACCUCAUGAAGUCGGAGUCGCUAGUAAUCGCAGAUCAGCAACGCUGCGGUGAAUACGUUCCCGGGGCUUGUACACACCGCCCGUCAAGUCAUGAAAGUUGGUAACACCCGAAGCCAGAGGCCUAACCGUUGUGGGGGAGCCGUCGAAG